AGGCUUAACUCACAACCCAUGUCUGAGCACCCUCAGACCAUGAGAAACUGGAGCUGUGUCUAGCUGUUGCCACUUAAGGCUGCGGAGUUGGCAGGGCUCACUGCCUGAGACUACACCACAGGCUGUCUUAUGAAAAGCCAAGAUGCAGCCAGGGACAACAACAGUCCGCACAGGGAAUGCUGGAGUUUGCUGUAUAGCCACAUGUCAGUUAUUAUAAAGCAAACUACCUCUUCCAAAUUAGUCCUCUGCUGAAUGGGACUAUACCCUUAGGCAGGGCCGGCUCCAACUUUUUUGCUGCCCCAAGCGGCAAAGAAAAAAAGCAGCAGGACCUGCUGCCUAAUUGCUGCUGAAGAGGGAGAGAGGGAGUGAAGGUCCCGCCGCCGAAUUGCCGCCGAAGACGCGGACAUGCUGCCCCAAUCAUGGACACAGUCCCCCCCUUUCUAUUGGCCGCCCCAGGCACCUGCUUCCUUCGCUGGUGCCUGGAGCCAGCCCUGCCCUUAGGGCUGGUCUACACACAAUUUACAGGAAAAAUCUAUACCACUAGAAGUAC